GGGGCCUGCGGAAGGAUCAUUACCUAGAGUUGCGGGCUUUGCCUGCCAUCUCUUACCCAUGUCUUUUGAGUACCUUCGUUUCCUCGGCGGGUCCGCCCGCCGAUUGGACAAAACUUAAACCCUUUGUAAUUGAAAUCAGCGUCUGAAAAAACUUAAUAGUUACAACUUUCAACAACGGAUCUCUUGGUUCUGGCAUCGAUGAAGAACGCAGCGAAAUGCGAUAAGUAGUGUGAAUUGCAGAAUUCAGUGAAUCAUCGAAUCUUUGAACGCACAUUGCGCCCCUUGGUAUUCCAUGGGGCAUGCCUGUUCGAGCGUCAUUUGUACCUUCAAGCUCUGCUUGGUGUUGGGUGUUUGUCUCGCCUCUGCGCGCAGACUCGCCUCAAAACGAUUGGCAGCCGGCGUAUUGAUUUCGGAGCGCAGUACAUCUCGCGCUUUGCAACAAAACGACGACGUCCAAAAAGUACA
rnacentral:rRNA from 1 species